GAUGAAGAACGCAGCGAAAUGCGAUACUUGGUGUGAAUUGCAGAAUCCCGUGAACCAUCGAGUCUUUGAACGCAAGUUGCGCCCGAAGCCAUUAGGCCGAGGGCACGCCUGCCUGGGUGUCACACGUCGUUGCCCCCCCAUCUACUCCUUCGGGAUUGCGGGGGGCGGAUGAUGGCCUCCCGUGCGCCUCGUCGCGCGGUUGGCAUAAAUGCCAAGUCCUCGGCGACGCACGCCACGACAAUCGGUGGUUGCGAAACCUCGGUUGCCCGUCGUGUGCGGUCGUCGCGCAUCGAGGGCUCGAAAAAAUUGCCGGGCUCCGGCUCGGCUUUCAACGCGACCCCAGGUCAGGCGGGGUUACCCGCUGAAUUUAAGCAUAUCAUAAGCGGAGGA
rnacentral:misc_RNA from 1 species